rnacentral:lncRNA from 1 species
CCUAUAUGGUCAUAUCUAGAUAAUACUAUCCUUGUGGAUAGCACAAUAAGGCAGCAUUACCAAAUAUGCCAUAAGCAUCACUAGGUUGACAUCAUAGCAAUCACUAUAGCAAGCCUUGUAGAUAGCACAAUAAACUUACUACAGUUUUUGAUAUACUCUAUUGACUUAGUAUGAGCUAAAUACCAUUAACUUCAUUAUGCACCAAGAC